GUGGGGGUGGCAGACGAAUGCGUCCGACUUAAGCUCGGAAGAUGAGUUAGUAGCUCUCUCCAUU